AACGCACAUUGCGCCCCUUGGUAUUCCGAGGGGCAUGCCUGUUCGAGCGUCAUUACAACCCUCAAGCAUUGCUUGGUAUUGGGCCCCGCUGCUUACCCAGCGGGCCUUAAAAUCAGUGGCGGUGCCGUCGAGGCCCUGAGCGUAGUAAAUAUCCUCGCUAUAGGGACUCGGUGGAUGCUGGCCAUCAACCCCCAACUUUCUAAGUUUGACCUCGGAUCAGGUAGGGAUACCCGCUGAACUUAA
rnacentral:misc_RNA from 1 species